CGACGUAUCUUUCAAGUGUCUGCCUUAUCAACUUUCGAUGGUAGGUUAUGCGCCUACCAUGGUUGUAACGGGUAACGGGGAAUUAGGGUUCGAUUCCGGAGAGGGAGCCUGAGAAACGGCUACCACAUCCAAGGAAGGCAGCAGGCGCGCAAAUUACCCACUCCCAGCACGGGGAGGUAGUGACGAAAAAUAACGAUGCUAAACUCAUACGAGGCUUAGCAAUCGGAAUGAGUACACUUUAAAUCCUUUAACGAGGAUCUAUUGGAGGGCAAGUCUGGUGCCAGCAGCCGCGGUAAUUCCAGCUCCAAUAGCGUAUACUAAUAUUGCUGUUGUUAAAAAGCUCGUAGUUGGAUCUCGGUUUCGGGCGGGUGGUGCGCCUUGCGGCGUUUACUGUCUGCCCGGACGAUUUUGUUGGUACGUUCAUGGUGCUCUUCAUCGGGUGCCUUGAGUGGCCAGCACGUUUACUUUGAAAAAAUUGGAGUGCUCAAAGCAGGCGCUACAGCCUGAACAAUUGUGCAUGGAAUAAUGGAAUAGGAUCUCGGUUCUAUUUCGUUGGCUUUCGGAGUCGAGGUAAUGAUUAAUAGGACAGACGG
rnacentral:rRNA from 1 species